UACGUAGGUGGCGAGCGUUAUCCGGAUUUAUUGGGCGUAAAGCGUCCGCAGACGGCUUGUUAAGUCUAGAAUCAAAGCCCGGAGCUUAACUCCGGUUCGUUUUAGAAACUGGCAGGCUUGAGUAUAGUAGAGGCAAGUGGAAUUUCUAGUGUAGCGGUAGAAUGCGUAGAUAUUAGAAGGAACACCAGUGGCGAAGGCGACUUGCUGGGCUAUUACUGACGUUCAUGGACGAAAGCGUGGGGAGCAAAUAGG
rnacentral:rRNA from 1 species